rnacentral:misc_RNA from 1 species
UAACGAGCGAAGUCACGGUACACAUGUUAUGGGGCAAAAGGUAAAUAAAAUAUCUAAACAUAAUUAUCAUGAGAGUAACCAACUGACGGACGGUCCAACUCAAGUUAGUCAUGCAUCAAGCACCGUCACUGAUACUCGUCUCCAUAACAACUUUGCGGAAAACGACAUGAUCUACCUCUACAAUGCCAUCCUGACAAUAACCAGUCUAACUUGACAUUGACUCAGAAACCAUCGUGUGUUUUCCACUAUGAUCGAAUAUAUAUUUCUCGUCUUUAUAUCAAUCCUCAUAAUAGCCACUUCGCUAGUGUUGACGCGGAUUUACUUAAAAUGCACAAUCAAACGAUGCACUUCGAAGGUGUCCAUGAAAGGAAAAGUGAUCAUAAUAACCGGAUCGAAUACUGGAAUAGGAUACCAUGCUGCUGUAGACUUAGCCAGAAGAGGAGGAAGGAUCAUACUUGCUUGCAGGAAUAUAGAAAGAGGUAAGGCGGCGAAAGACAGAAUUACAACUGAAACAGGAAAUAAAAAUGUUAUUUUCAAGCAUUUGAAUUUGUCAUCUUUGAAGUCUGUUAGAGAAUUCGCUGAAGAUAUUAAGAAUACUGAGAGUAGACUGGAUGUGUUAAUAAACAAUGCUGGAGUGCACGGGUUUGGAGACCGGUACACGCAAGAUGGAAUCGUGGAAGGUAUGCAGAUCAACUACUUCGCUCCAUUCUUGUUGAGCUUGCUUCUCGUUCCCAUGCUGAAGGCAUCCAAGGGAAGAAUAGUUAAUGUGAGUUCUUUAUGCCACUAUAGAGGAGAAGUCAACCUUGAUAAAAUUAAUAAAGCCGGUGCUUAUGAUGACACAGCAACAUACGCUAAUAGCAAACUAUGCACCUUAAUCUUUACUAAAGUAUUAGCACAAGAAGUUAGCGGUGAAGUCACGGUCAACUCCAUGCAUCCAGGUGUCAUUUUGACGAACAUUGUUCCGGAUGGGGCACAACAGAGAACGAUAUUCAAAUAUUGGUGCUGGUUAUGCUGCAGGACUGCGGAGGAGGGUGCUCAGACUAUAAUAUACCUAGCAGUGGCAGAUGAAGUGAAAACAAUUUCUGGGAAAUAUUUCGUGGACUGCAAUGAACGAUUCGUGUUGUGGAAAGCUAAUGACAAGAAGCUCGCAAAGGAACUGUGGUGCUUUUCUGAAGAAUUGGUUAAGCUAAAUUAGUGAUAUUAAGUAUGGUGGAACUAUUUUAUAGGUUUAUUGCCUAACGUUAUGAUUAGAAUAGCGCUGACGCUGUCGUUCGUGGUGUGCUGGCUGCCGUUCUUCUCGCUCCGGGUUCUGUUCUUCGUGUGCAACAUCCGACAACUCAUGCGACUGCCUCAG